rnacentral:rRNA from 1 species
GACGAACGCUGGCGGCGUGCUUAACACAUGCAAGUCGAACGGAAAGGCCCUGCUUUUGUGGGGUGCUCGAGUGGCGAACGGGUGAGUAACACGUGAGUAACCUGCCCUUGACCUUGGGAUAACUUCAGGAAACUGGGGCUAAUACCGGAUAGGAGCUCCUGCUGCAUGGUGGGGGUUGGAAAGUUUCGGCGGUUGGGGAUGGACUCGCGGCUUAUCAGCUUGUUGGUGGGGUAGUGGCUUACCAAGGCUUUGACGGGUAGCCGGCCUGAGAGGGUGACCGGCCACAUUUGGACUGAGAUACGGCCCAGACUCCUACGGGAGGCAGCAGUGGGGAAUAUUGCACAAUGGGCGGAAGCCUGAUGCAGCAACGCCGCGUGCGGGAUGACGGCCUUCGGGUUGUAAACCGCUUUCGCCUGUGACGAAGCGUGAGUGACGGUAAUGGGUAAAGAAGCACCGGCUAACUACGUG